rnacentral:miRNA from 2 species
UAACACUGUCUGGUAAUGAUGAC